AUCGAGGUUCGACUAAGCCAUGCGAGUCGAAUGUAGCAAUACAUGGCGAACUGCUCAGUAACACGUGGACAACCUGCCCUUAGGUUGGGUAUAAACCCGGGAAACUGGGUAUAAUACCCGAUAGGUCUCGAUUGCUGGAAUGCAUCGAGAUUUAAAGCUCCGGCGCCUAAGGAUGGGUCUGCGGCCUAUCAGGUAGUAGUGGGUGUAGCGUACCUACUAGCCUACGACGGGUACGGGUUGUGAGAGCAAGAGCCCGGAGAUGGAUUCUGAGACACGAAUCCAGGCCCUACGGGGUGCAGCAGGCGCGAAAACUUUACAAUGCUGGCAACAGCGAUAAGGGAACCUCGAGUGCCAGGUUACAAAUCUGGCUGUCGAGAUGCCUAAAAAGCAUUUCAUAGCAAGGGCCGGGCAAGACCGGUGCCAGCCGCCGCGGUAACACCGGCGGCUCGAGUGGUAACCGUUAUUAUUGGGUCUAAAGGGUCUGUAGCCGGCCGGAUAAGUCUCUUGAGAAAUCUGGCAGCUUAACUGUCAGGCUUUCAGGAGAUACUGUCUGGCUCGAGGCCGGGAGAGGUGAGAGGUACUUCAGGGGUAGGGGUGAAAUCUUGUAAUCCUUGAAGGACCACCAGUGGCGAAGGCGUCUCACCAGAACGGACCUGACGGCAAGGGACGAAAGCUAGGGGCACGAACCGGAUUAGAUACCCGGGUAGUCCUAGCCGUAAACGAUACUCGCUAGGUGUCGGCCACGGUGCGACCGUUGUCGGUGCCGUAGGGAAGCCGUGAAGCGAGCCACCUGGGAAGUACGGCCGCAAGGCUGAAACUUAAAGGAAUUGGCGGGGGAGCACCACAACGGGUGGAGCUUGCGGUUUAAUUGGAUUCAACGCCGGA
rnacentral:rRNA from 1 species